rnacentral:RNase_P_RNA from 1 species
GAAGUGGCCCAGGCAGUCGCCCGUCACAUAUUGUGGCGGGAGGAAAGUCCGGACUCCUGCAGGGAGGGUGGCUCCUAACGGGAGCAGCCCGCGAGGGCUGGAAAGUGCCACAGAAACCAUACCGUCCGCCACAUUUUGUGGCGGAUAAGGGUGAAAUGGUGAGGUAAGAGCUCACCGUCGGUCUGGUAACAGACCGAGCAGGGCAUACCCCACCUGGAGCAAGGUCUAACAGAGCCUGUGGGUUCCCUGCCCCAAUAGGCUCGGGUUGACCGCUUGAACUUCCGGGCGACCGGAAGUCCAGAUGAAUGACUGCCUUAAACACAGAAUCCGGCUUAUGGGCCACUUCAUCU